rnacentral:misc_RNA from 1 species
CUCGCCGCCUUUGUCCCUGGC